rnacentral:lncRNA from 1 species
CCUGCUGUGACAGGCUCAGUUCUCUCGGAGAUGCUUCUGCCUCUGCUUCCCAGAGUCAGGCACAGCCCGGCCGCACUCAAGGUCACCAGGGGUCAGGACUGGAGCCCGGCCUUCCCGUGCCCCAGUGCUCUCGCCUCCCUCCUGGAAGGGGGACGUGUGGUGCUGAGGUUCUGCCCCAACUGCUUGCUGGCGUAGCUCAAGGGAGGACAGACUUGGCCUUGGUCCCGAGAGACACGGAGGAUGUGUCUCAGGGUCCUGGGGCCCGCGGCCACCCCCAGUGCCCCCACCACCUUCCAGAAGACUCCCCAGGGCGCAACCAGCCAGGAAGCACCCAGGACAGGGGACACCGAGGCCUGGGCCGGGCCCUGUCCCCAGCAGCAGCACCUCCUCACAGAGCACCCGACACUGUGGUCACCUCGCGUGUAAACCUCUCCAGGCUCCAUUGCUCCCAGGGUGAGGCCAGGCUCCCCAGCCGUGGCCCUGCCCGGUGUCCAGGUGACCUGGGACAAGGUGGCUUUGCACACGCUGCUCUGUCUCUGUCCCCUGCACCCUUCCCUCCUCCCCCGCCUCGUUUCUACCUGGAGCAGGUGGGCUCUGCUCCUCCCCUUCACCUGGGUGCAGGUGGAUCCUUCAAACCUCACCUCCCAGCUCCCUGGAUGCCCAGAGGGGACCGAGGGACAAGCCCCCCACACCUGUCUGUCUGUCUCUCUCCUCCCUCCCUCCUUCCCCACCUCAGGCAGCGUCUGCUUGGUGAAUCCUCAUGUCUGUGGUCCCAGCUUAGGAGCCGGCUCCUCUUCCUCUGUCCAGCCCACCCAGGGCGGCAGCAGCUUUGUGUCAUUCUUUCACCUUUUCAUCCUAGGCACUGAAUCCAGGACCUUUGCACUGAGUUACAUCUACAGCCCUUUUUUAUUUGGAGACAGGGUCUCAUGAGUCACUAAGUUGCCCAGGCUGGGCUUGAGUCAGUGAUCCUCCUGCCUCAGCCUCCCAGAGUGCUGGGAUCACAGGUGUGCACCACCAUGCCAGCUUCCCACCCUCUUUUUUUUUUUUUUUGUACCGCGGAUCGAACUCAGGACCUUAUGCUUGUAAGGCAGGUGGUGGAACCACUGAGCUAAAUCCCUGGCCCAUUCCCACCCUUCUUAACUUUGAUUUGGCCCCACUUCCCAUUUUCUCCUUUUGCGCGUUGUCACUUCCCCCCCAGUCCUCUGGCUCACCCCCUUCCACUUCAGCCCAGUCCCUGUCCAGCCUUGCAGCCACUGAUCCCACAGGGGCUUCUGGCCCGAGGCUGACUCAGGACCCAGGGGACAGGCCGGGUGUUUGUUCCCCUGCAUACUAACUGCUGCUUGUGCUUAUGCAUUCAUGAGUGUGGUCACCUGCUCCACCCACCUCCCCACACCUGCAAGUCCCUGAGGGUGGGGGCCCAGCCUUCAUUGGGUGCUGGCACCUGGGAGGGGACCUCAGCUGAUGCCAGCCAGGGAGUAGGAGCACGGGGAGGACCUUGCUCCAGGCCUCUCUUCCCUUCUCCCUGAGGUGACUGAGUACACUGCUCAGAGAAGCUCCCCAUUCAUUCAUUGCACUGAGAUUCUUCAGCGUCUGGUGGCACCAGAUGGGCAGAUGGUGGCGGCCGGGAGUGAGGAUGACGGUGGGCAGAUGGAUGGAAAGAUAGGUGGCUGGCUUGUGCAGCUCUAGAGGUGCAGAUAAGGGAUCGAGCCGCAAAUGACAAUGUGGGCCCGAAGGAG